rnacentral:rRNA from 1 species
GACGAACGCUGGCGGCGUGCCUAAUACAUGCAAGUCGAACGAACGGAUAAAGAGCUUGCUCUUUUGAAGUUAGUGGCGGACGGGUGAGUAACACGUGGGUAACCUGCCUCACAGCUGGGGAUAACAUCGAGAAAUCGAUGCUAAUACCGAAUGUGCUGAACAUCAUAAGAUGUUCAAGUGAAAGACGGUUUCGGCUGUCACUGUGAGAUGGACCCGCGCUGGAUUAGCUAGUUGGUAAGGUAAUGGCUUACCAAGGCGACGAUCCAUAGCCGACCUGAGAGGUGAUCGGCCACAUUGGGACUGAGACACGGCCCAAAACUCCUAACGGGAGACAGGCAGUAGGGAAUCUUCGGCAAUGGAC